rnacentral:lncRNA from 10 species
CCCGGUCCCACCGAACUGCAUAGGGCCGUGUAGCCGGGGGAAGUCAGCCCCCUGCUCUGAGAAGCAGACUCUGCAUCUGUAAAAGGCUAAGCGUGCCCACUGGGGCCUGUGGUCAGGAUUGGCUGCAGUGAGGUCCGCAAAGCCCCUACCGCAUCCUGCGCCUUCGUUAGGGUGAGCAGUCAUGGGGACUCGCAUUGUGCCACCACGUAGCGGGUCUCACUGGGUCCGCUUGUCUGCUCGAGGAGACAGCCGGUGAGGACGGGAGCUGGCCUGCUUUGCCCAGGCUGUAACCUCAGCCUCCGCCCAUACCCACAGAUCGCUAUGGUCACAAAGCCCAGA